CAGCACCUCAAGUGGUCGGGAUGAUUAUUGGGCCUAAAGCAUCCGUAGCCGGCUCUGUAAGUUUUCGGUUAAAUCUGUACGCUCAACGUACAGGCUGCCGGGAAUACUGCAGAGCUAGGGAGUGGGAGAGGUAGACGGUACUCGGUAGGAAGGGGUAAAAUCCUUUGAUCUAUUGAUGACCACCUGUGGCGAAGGCGGUCUACCAGAACACGUCCGACGGUGAGGGAUGAAAGCUGGGGGAGCAAACCGGAUUAGAUACCCGAGUAGUCC
rnacentral:rRNA from 1 species